rnacentral:rRNA from 1 species
UGGGGAAUAUUGGACAAUGGGCGAAAGCCUGAUCCAGCCAUGCCGCGUGUGUGAAGAAGGUCUUCGGAUUGUAAAGCACUUUAAGUUGGGAGGAAGGGCAGUAAGCGAAUACCUUGCUGUUUUUACGUUACCGACAGAAUAAGCACCGGCUAACUCUGUGCCAGCAGCCGCGGUAAUACAGAGGGUGCAAGCGUUAAUCGGAAUUACUGGGCGUAAAGCGCGCGUAGGUGGUUCGUUAAGUUGAAUGUGAAAGCCCCGGGCUCAACCUGGGAACUGCAUCCAAAACUGGCGAGCUAGAGUAGGGCAGAGGGUGGUGGAAUUUCCUGUGUAGCGGUGAAAUGCGUAGAUAUAGGAAGGAACACCAGUGGCGAAGGCGACCACCUGGGCUCAUACUGACACUGAGGUGCGAAAGCGUGGGGAGCAAACAGG